rnacentral:rRNA from 1 species
GGAUCGCCCUUCCUACGGGAGGCAGCAGUGGGGAAUAUUGCGCAAUGGGCGAAAGCCUGACGCAGCGACGCCGCGUGGGUGAUGAAGGCCUUCGGGUCGUAAAGCCCUGUCGGGAGGGACGAAACCUCGGCGACCUAACACGUCGUCGACCUGACGGUACCUCCAAAGGAAGCACCGGCUAACUCCGUGCCAGCAGCCGCGGUAAUAAGGGCGAUCCC